CAGUAGCCACGGUAAUACGUAGGUCCCGAGCGUUGUCCGGAUUUAUUGGGCGUAAAGGGAGCGCAGGCGGUUUAGUAAGUCUGAAGUUAAAGGCAUUGGCUCAACCAAUGUAUGCUUUGGAAACUGUUAGACUUGAGUGCAGAAGGGGAGAGUGGAAUUCCAUGUGUAGCGGUGAAAUGCGUAGAUAUAUGGAGGAACACCGGUGGCGAAAGCGGCUCUCUGGUCUGUCACUGACGCUGAGGCUCGAAAGCGUGGGUAGCGAACAGGAUUAGAUACCCCGGUAGUCCCUGUCUCUUAUCCC
rnacentral:rRNA from 1 species